AAUUUUGGACAAUGGGGGAAACCCUGAUCCAGCCAUCCCGCGUGUAUGAUGAAGGCCUUCGGGUUGUAAAGUACUUUUGGCAGAGAAGAAAAGGUACCUCCUAAUACGAGGUACUGCUGACGGUACCUGCAGAAUAAGCACCGGCUAACUCCGUGCCAGCCGCCGCGGUAAUACGUAGGGUGCAAGCGUUAAUCGGAAUUCUUGGGCGUAAAGCGAGUGGAGGCGGUUCGAAAAGAAAGAUGUGAAAUCCCAGGGCUCAACCUUAGAACAGCAUUUUUAACUGCCGAGCUAGAGUAUGUCAGAGGGGGGUAGAAUUCCACGUGUAGCAGUGAAAUGCGUAGAUAUGUGGAGGAUACCGAUGGCGAAGGCAGCCCCCUGGGAUAAUACUGACGCUCAGACACGAAAGCGUGGGGAGCAAACA
rnacentral:rRNA from 1 species